AGCUACAUCCGUCACCUGACACGGCCCUACCAGGAACAGCCGCGCUCCCGCGGAUUCUGGUGCUGCUCGCGUCCCCGCUCCCCUAUUCCCCUUAUUUUAUUCCUGGCUCCCCUCGUCGAAAGUCUUCCAUUCUUCAAACUAGAUUAUUUAAAAAUGAAAAAGGAAGAAAGGAAAGCGAGGUCAUCUCAUUGCUCUAUCCGCCAAUCAGGAGGCUGAAUGUCAGUUUUGAACUAAAAGCCGCUCCGCUCCUCUUCUAGAUUUGGAAAACAAGCGAAAUUAAACUAAACCGCUGCACGCCUCUGACGCGACAUCUGGACACGGCGCGGCGCUGGCGCUGCCGGAGCUGUCGACCCGGCCUGGCGCCGGACUAGUGUCCCUUUUGAUGAGAAGAAUAAGCCUCAUUCUGAUUCAACAGCAGAGAUCAAAGAAAAGACUUCUGUUUUCUGGCCACCAGAUAUAUGUUAUCUGUGCUUAAAGAAUUGAAAAACACACAUCAAAGGAGAAUUUUCUUGGAAAGAGAGGGUUCAAGCAUCACUGUUAGGUGUGCUGGAAUCCUUUCCCGAGUCAGUACUGCUUUCUAGAAGAAAACCGGGGAGAUCUAUUUGGAAUGUAUCUAACUCCAAAGAAACCAUCAGAGGUAACAGUAGAGACGGGGUUUCACCAUGUUGGCCAGACUGGUCUUGAACUCUCGACCUCGUGAUUCGCCCGCCUCGGCCUCCCAAAGUGCUGGGAUUACAGGUGUGAGACACCACACCCGGCGGAUAGAGAGAAUUUUGACAGGAUGAUUACGGAGCUAGGAAUUUCCUACGAAGCUGGGUGAUAAAAGGACAUUGGACAAAAACACAGAUAGCUUCAUUCUAUACCAGGAUCCAUCACUGAUUAGCUGUAUUAUAUUUGUCUCUACUGUAAUUUGAGGAGAAUGAUACCUGCUUCUCUAUCUUGUUGGGUUUUACAGAUGAUGUAUUGAAAGUUCAAUAAAAUCUAUAAACAAU
rnacentral:lncRNA from 10 species